rnacentral:rRNA from 1 species
AGUGAACGCUGGCGGUAGGCCUAACACAUGCAAGUCGAACGGCAGCACAGUAAGAGCUUGCUGUUACGGGUGGCGAGUGGCGGACGGGUGAGGAAUACAUCGGAAUCUACUUUUUCGUGGGGGAUAACGUAGGGAAACUUACGAUAAUAUCGCAUAUGACCUACGGGUGAAAGCAGGGGAUCUUCGGACCUUGGGGGAGUGAAUGAGCCGAUGACGUAUUAGUUAGUUGGGGGGGUAGUGGCCUACCAAGGCGAUGAUGGGUAGCUGGCGUGAGUGGGUGACCGGGAAAAGUGGGACUGAGAUAAGGCCCAGACGCCUACGGGAGGCAGCAGUGGGGAAUAUUGCACAAUGGGCGGAAGCAUGAUGCAGCAACGCAGAGUGCGGGAUGACGGCCUUCGGGUUGUAAACCGCUUUCGCCUGUGACGAAGCGUGAGUGACGGUAAUGGGUAAAGAAGCACCGGCUAACUACGUG